CCUACGGGAGGCUGCAGUGGGGAAUAUUGGACAAUGGGGGGAACCCUGAUCCAGCCAUGCCGCGUUUGUGAAGAAGGCCCUCGGGUUGUAAAGCACUUUCAGUGAGGAAGAACGCCUGGUGGUUAAUACCCAUCAGGAAAGACAUCACUCACAGAAGAAGCACCGGCUAACUCCGUGCCAGCAGCCGCGGUAAUACGGAGGGUGCGAGCGUUAAUCGGAAUUACUGGGCGUAAAGCGCGCGUAGGUGGCUUGAUAAGCCGGUUGUGAAAGCCCCGGGCUCAACCUGGGAACGGCAUCCGGAACUGUCAAGCUAGAGUCCAGGAGAGGAAGGUAGCAUUCCCGGUGUAGCGGUGAAAUGCGUAGAGAUCGGGAGGAAUACCAGUGGCGAAGGCGGCCUUCUGGACUGACACUGACACUGAGGUGCGAAAGCGUGGGUAGCAAACAGGAUUAGAUACCCCUGUAGUC
rnacentral:rRNA from 1 species